rnacentral:lncRNA from 1 species
AAUUGGAGGUGGUAACAGAUCUUACAGACCCAGCUCGAACCCAAAUGGGGGAGAGCGCUACUCUCAAAAUAGAGAAGGAGCCUAUCAAAGCACCCGUGGCUUUCAGGGAAAUUAUCAUAACAGCCGUCAGGGAAAUUUUAACGGCAGUAAUAGUAACAACUGGAACAAAGGAAAAGCAACGGAGGGCCGAACUGAUGCCACUCUCAAAUUGAAGUGCUUUUUAUGUGAAGGGCCUCAUCGCGUGUCGGAGUGUCCUCAGAAGCGGAUGGUGAAUGCAUAUUGUCA